rnacentral:lncRNA from 10 species
AUGAAAACCAACUUUUUUCAUCUAAUACAAUUUUUGUUUAACUCUACAACUUCCAUUUAUCAUGUAGGUCUCUUCCUGGCUGCCUCUGCUUCUUCUCAUUUGCUCCUUAUCCACAGGUAUGUGCUGCUGUGUUUGCCUCCGCCCCAACCCCUGCUCCCUAGACCCAAGUAUGGCCACAGCUGUUGAUGCCCUUCUAACUGGGAGGAAGUGCUAGUGCCUAAAGCCUGUGAGGGUCAACAGGUGGUUUUCUGGGCUGACAUUUCUUUCUGCUUACAGGGUGAAAUGGUGAUCCAGGGUUGUGAGUUAGCUAUGGGGCUUCUGGGGGUACUUUUGUGUUUUAUUUGCCUGAAAUCCUUUUUGAACCUGG